CCGGCCGGUGCCUGCCCGUAACGAUCCCCGGGGGCGCCCGGUACCUUUCGUGAUUUACCACCAUGAAUUAACGCUCCGAAACGCUGUUUCACCAAAUAAAGGCUGCGGCGUGCAGAGGUUAAAGGAAGUUGCUAAAGCUCCGUCUGCUGCGGUGUGGGAGGUGGAGAGCGCAGAGGUCAGAUCAAGCAGCCACAGAAGAUACGAAGCCCCAUCAGGUUCUUCAAAAAGACUGUUGGCCGAAAGAUCUCCACCCCAAGGUUCCAGGAUAAAAAGCCUCCAAAGGCUACCUGAUAUCCAAGAAUUAUUUUGGGGCAAGACAAUCUCAGUUGCCCACCCUGAAUAGUUUUUACUUCUGCUUUCUUCGUCAAAAGAUUACCAUAUUUUAACAACAAAAACAAGUUCUAGCAUAGUAUGUCUUUCAAAAACUCUCAGAAAUCACUGUGUUAGCUUCAAACUAAAAGUAGAAAAUAAGAAAAGGUGUUUUGGAACAGCCUGGAUGGAGCCUGUACCAACAGACUAGCAAAGGAUGCCAAGGUAAACGCUCUUCCUAACUCACUGGUCUCAACAGUAACCAAUAUCUAGGGUUUUAUUUAGUUACCUGCUUUUUCCAGUACAAAUCUGCAAACAAAGAGUAGUGGCUUAGCCGCUCAAGCUCUUAUAAUAUUCACGUAAAUGAGAAAGUCCACAGAUAGUAUUGAAAUCCAGUAAGAUUUCAAAUAUUGAGCUGUACAACUUUUCCCACUGUGUUUUGUGUCAGAUCUCUUUCCAUGUAAAA